rnacentral:rRNA from 1 species
UACAGGGGGGGCGAGCGUUGUUCGGAAUUACUGGGCGUAAAGGGCUUGUAGGUGGCUUGCUCAGUCAGACGUGAAAUCCCUCAGCUUAACUGGGGAACUGCGUCUGAUACUAGCGAGCUUGAGUGCAGGAGAGGAACGCGGAAUUCCAGGUGUAGCGGUGAAAUGCGUAGAUAUCUGGAGGAACACCGGUGGCGAAGGCGGCGUUCUGGACUGCAACUGACACUGAAAAACGAAAGCCAGGGGAGCAAACGGG